rnacentral:rRNA from 1 species
UACGAAGGGGGGCUAGCGUUGCUCGGAAUCACUGGGCGUAAAGCGCACGUAGGCGGCUUUCUAAGUCGGGGGUGAAAUCCUGGAGCUCAACUCCAGAACUGCCUUCGAUACUGGAAAGCUCGAGUCCGGGAGAGGUGAGUGGAACUGCGAGUGUAGAGGUGAAAUUCGUAGAUAUUCGCAAGAACACCAGUGGCGAAGGCGGCUCACUGGCCCGGUACUGACGCUGAGGUGCGAAAGCGUGGGGAGCAAACAGG